GUGUCAGCCGCCGCGGUAAGACGUAGGGGGCAAGCGUUACCCGGAAUUACUGGGCGUAAAGGGGGCGUAGGCGGUAAAAGAAGUCAUCUGUGAAAACCUAUUGCUCAACGAUAGGCUAGCGGAUGAAACUGAAUUACUUGAGGGCACCAGAGGUAGACGGAAUUACCCGAGUAGGGGUGAAAUCCGCAGAUACGGGUAGGAACGCCGGUGGAGAAGUCGGUCUACUGGGGUGCACCAGACGCUGAGGCCCGAAAGCUAGGGGAGCAAACCGGAUUAGAUACCCGGGUAGUCCUAGCCGUAAACGAUGCUCACUAGGUGUAGGGAGUGAUAAACUCUCUGUGCUGAAGCGAACGCGCUAAGUGAGCCGCCUGGGGAGUACGUCCGCAAGGAUGAAACUCAAAGGAAUUGACGG
rnacentral:rRNA from 1 species